GAGUUUGAUCAUGGCUCAGAAUGAACGCUGGCGGCGUGCUUAACACAUGCAAGUCGAGCGAGGCCAGGGGGGCAACUCCCUGAGUCGAGCGGCGGACGGGUGAGUAACACGUGGGUAACCUACCCGGAAGUGGGGAAUACCUCGGGGAAACUCGAGCUAAUACCGCAUAACAUCUUUGGGACGAAAGUUCCGACGAUCAAAGCGGGGUCGCAAGAUCUCGCGCUACCGGAUGGGCCCGCGCCCGAUUAGCUAGUUGGUGAGGUAACGGCUCACCAAGGCGACGAUCGGUAACCGGCCUGAGAGGGCGAUCGGUCACACCGGAACUGAGACACGGUCCGGACUCCUACGGGAGGCAGCAGUGGGGAAUCUUGCGCAAUGGGCGAGAGCCUGACGCAGCAACGCCGCGUGGAGGAUGAAG
rnacentral:rRNA from 1 species